rnacentral:misc_RNA from 1 species
GAUGAAGAACGUAGCGAAAUGCGAUAAGUAGUGUGAAUUGCAGAAUUCAGUGAAUCAUCGAAUCUUUGAACGCACAUUGCGCCUCCUGGUAUUCCGGGAGGCAUGCCUGUUCGAGCGUCAUUAAAUUCACUCAAGCUUAGGUUUACCUAUUGCUUGGUCUUGGAGAUGGAAGCCAAUUUAUUGGAAUCCUCUUCGAAAUUCAAUGGCGAAGACCCUUGCUCUCCCAAGUGUAGUAAUAACUUAUGUCACUGAAGGAAGCGAGAAAUCUUCUGCCGUAACCCCCAUAUUUUCUAUGAUUGACCUCGGAUCAGGUAGGGAUACCCGCUGAACUUAAGCAUAUCAAUAAGCGGAGGA